UACGUAGGGUGCAAGCGUUGUCCGGAAUUAUUGGGCGUAAAGAGCUCGUAGGCGGUUUGUCGCGUCUGCUGUGAAAACUCAGGGCUUAACCCUGAGCCUGCAGUGGGUACGGGCAGACUAGAGUGUGGUAGGGGAGACUGGAAUUCCUGGUGUAGCGGUGAAAUGCGCAGAUAUCAGGAGGAACACCGGUGGCGAAGGCGGGUCUCUGGGCCAUAACUGACGCUGAGGAGCGAAAGCAUGGGGAGCGAACAGG
rnacentral:rRNA from 1 species